GGUCCUGGGUGAAGACACACCCACACUAUAUUUUUCCAUCUCUCCCCCGCAGAGUGAAACCAAUACCUGCCACCAACACAGCUGUUGGUGCUGCUAUCAACACACUGAGACAGAGGCCGGGGACACAAGGACAUAGGCAGGAGCCCCACGGAUGGGAAUAUGGACCUCUUAGCCCGCAGUGGCAGGGUGAGCCCACAUCCUGGUCCCUGGAAGUCUGCAGUCCUGGCAUGUAUACUAAUAAUCGCCCUUCAAACAUGCACUCGGUGGCUGAUGAGUUAGUUAUAUGGCGUCCCUGGGCACCCAGGACCUGGAAUAGAGCUGCGAUGUCCAGCAGCGGCACCGUCAGACCUUCCCACCCACCGUGCACAGCUUCCGACUUCUCCACAUCCUCGCCAGCACUUGUCAGUUUCUGGUUUUGGCGUGGGGUUUGGGAUCUGGCUCUGUUUUCAUGGAUGAAUGGCCUUCCGAAAGACCUCUCCUCUUCUUCGUGGAACCAGGGAAGGGAUUCAGGAAGCCUCCUCCAGCCUCCUGUCUGAGCAGGCUCUCAUUCCACCAGCCUGUCCACCAGAAAACAUGAAAUCUGAUUAAAGUAAGGAGGGGGAACACAUUUCUCAUAACACCUUCUGCUGGAAAUUCACAUUUAGAGCAAGUCAGUGGGGGCAGAUUUAAUUAAGAUUGGGUUGCAAGUGCUGGAAGUGGUGUUAGCAUUCGUGCUUAGCCUCCCGGAAACUCACCCAACGUGACAGGCCGGAUUUAGGGGGUUUGAAAUAGGUUUCUCUGCAGGCCAGGCUUCUACAUGCCUAUUACUCUGAUGAGUUUAGGAUUCUAUCCAUAUCCUCUCCGAUUUUCUGCAUUAGAAAUGUCUCCAAAAGAAGAGGAAACUCCCACUUCCUGUCCUAUCUCCUCUGCUAUGGCCAUCCCCUGCAGGACUCUUCUCCCGGCCAGGCAGUCCCUGCAGUGGGUGGAAUAGUGGUGUCCACCAGCAACAGAAGGAUAGGACCUUGCUUGGAAACAAGGCCUUUGCAGAUGUCAUUGGCUGAGGAUCUUGGGAUGAAAUCACCUUAGGUCUACAGUGGUCCCUCAGCCAAGGACAAGUGUCUGCGGGAAGGGGAGACACAGGGAAGCCAGGGCAGGCAGAAGCAGAUUGCAGCCUCAAUCCAGGAGGCCAGGGCCUCCAGAGGCUGGGAACCACGGGAAGGGUCUUCCCAGAGGGUGCACGUCCCGCUGGCACCCUCACUUGGGACUGUGGCCUGCGGAAGGCGGGAGAAGUGCUGGAGCCAGUCAGCAAGCACCCUCUACUCCCCAUGUGGGUGCUGCACACUGCUGUCCUGCAUCCCUCUCUGAGGCUGGGACUUGAGAUGGCCACUGUGCUCUGCUGCUGCUUCUGGGGACAUCCAGGUGCAUCUGGUGUCGGGUGGCGUGGGGCAAGGACUACUGUAUGAUGGGGCUCUCAACACACCUGUGGAUGGAGCACUCACUGCAGACCCAGGGGACCCGGGCUGAGGCCCUCUUGAUUGGACCAGCUCAAGCUCAGGGCCUCAGCUUAGCUGGGGAGGAGCAGGCGCCCAGCCUGCCCUGCUGGCAGUGGGAAUGCAAAUCCAUCUGCUGCUCUGGAGCCACCCACCCAGCCCACCGUGUCCUCAACAGAAGCCAGGCUUUAGCGUGGCCCCACCCUCGACUUGGGGCCCCUGGGUCCUCCCCUCCUCCUGGCUCCUUAGGACCCGACCUGCCUCCUGCAGCUGUCUGGCCCCCUUUUAGGCCAACUCCUCUCUGUGCCCACCAGCACCCUGCCCAGACCCCGGCCACACUUGACCUCAGAGCUAGGGGCACAGUGUCUCUCACCAAGCCCAGUACCCAACUCGCACGGCACUGUGGAGGAGGAAAGGUGCCCAAUGCAUUGUGCCAACCCAGUGUGGCUUUCUGUACUGGGCAGGUGACCACAAGUGUGGCCCUGGCCACUUCUAGGUCAGCCAGCCCAGCUCCAUUUUAAAGCCGUGGCUGUCAGCGUCUGGUGCUACUGGAGACGAUGCUGCGAGUCACACUGAGGGGAGGGUGUCCUGGCCCGGGCAGCCCCUCCACCAAGAGCACCUGUCAGGGGCGUCCUGUGUCCCUGCUGCCUUGCACCCUUGCUGCGCCCUGCAUCACCAAGGGUCCCCGUGACCCAUGGGCUCCUCCUCUCACCCUAGACUCCGAGUCAGCUGGUGAGAAGGAACUGGGCAUGACUCCGCAACAAUGUGAGGUGACAUGCAGCUCCUCACACUCCCCAGCCUUGCCCUGGGACCCCACACGCGUGGCUUGUGCAAACCCUAGUGGUCAGCAGUGGGGAGGCCCGGGCCACCCAGCCCAGCGCUGUCCCUCCCUCAGAGCCAUCCUCCUCAGCCCAGGGUGACAGACUUUGCUCUGUCCCCAGAGAUGACCCCACCUUAGCCUCACAGCGACACUUAGAGGAGCAGCUUCUGCCCCCAGCAGGGCUCUGCAGUAUCCAGCACAGAGCUGGGGCUCUGUGAGCCAGCUCAGCAGUACCGCAGGACCCAGUGCCUGGGUCUCUGCCCCCGGCCAUCUGCUGCCUUCUGUCCCAGCCAGCCCUCUUCUCCUGUGGAACAAGGGUGGGAAACCCACUUCGCAAGGGCCAGUCCCAUCCACUCCACCUGCGGAGCCUCCCUGGGCCCAGCAGAUACUGAGAGCAGAGCAGGAUCUUAGGGAGAGCUGGUGUCUGUCCAGCCACACUCCGCAGGGAAAUGUGCGCGGUCCUCUUGGGAUGGUGAGAUUCUGGUGAUUCUGUUAUCUCUUUCUCUUGCAUUUUCUGAAGCUAUGACUUUCUAAAAGUUAUAGUGAAUAAGUAUUGUUUGUAAAUACAAUAAGCCUGCUCCGCAAAGGAGCUAUUAAAUUGUA